rnacentral:rRNA from 1 species
AUGAACGCUAGCGGCAGGCUUAAUACAUGCAAGUUGAGGGGCAGCAUGAUAUACGCGAGUAUAUUGAUGGCGACCGGCGGACGGGUGAGUAAUAGGUAGGAGACCUACCUCAUACAGGGGGAUAGCAUAGAGAAAUCUGUGGUAAUACCCCAUGAGGUUAUAUGAAUAGAGGCAUAUAAUCAAAGCAUAAGCGAUUAUGCGGUAUGAGAGGGGCCUACUGACCAUUAGCUAGUUGGUGAGGUAAGGGCUCACCAAGGCGAAGAUGGUUAGGGGUUUUGAGAGAGAGACCCCCCACAUUGGAACUGAGAGACGGUCCAGACUCCUACGGGAGGCAGCAGUGGGGAAUAUUGCACAAUGGGCGAAAGCCUGAUGCAGCGACGCCGCGCGAGGGAUGACGGCCUUCGGGUUGUAAACCUCUUUCAGCAGGGAAGAAGCGAAAGUGACGGUACCUGCAGAAGAAGCACCGGCUAACUACGUG